GAUGAACGCUGGCGGCGUGCCUAAUACAUGCAAGUCGAGCGAACGGACGAGAAGCUUGCUUCUCUGAUGUUAGCGGCGGACGGGUGAGUAACACGUGGAUAACCUACCUAUAAGACUGGGAUAACUUCGGGAAACCGGAGCUAAUACCGGAUAAUAUUUUGAACCGCAUGGUUCAAAAGUGAAAGACGGUCUUGCUGUCACUUAUAGAUGGAUCCGCGCUGCAUUAGCUAGUUGGUAAGGUAACGGCUUACCAAGGCAACGAUGCAUAGCCGACCUGAGAGGGGGAUCGGCCACACUGGAACUGAGACACGGUCCAGACUCCUACGGGAGGCAGCAGUAGGGAAUCUUCCGCAAUGGGCGAAAGCCUGACGGAGCAACGCCGCGUGAGUGAUGAAGGUCUUCGGAUCGUAAAACUCUGUUAUUAGGGAAGAACAUAUGUGUAAGUAACUGUGCACAUCUGGACGGUACCUAAUCAGAAAGCCACGGCGAACUACGU
rnacentral:rRNA from 1 species